rnacentral:lncRNA from 1 species
ACUUCUUACAUUCAGGGAUACCCAGACAGUAAUCCAGCCAGGGCUUGUGAAGAAAGACAGGGUGAAAAGACAUGGUCAGAGUGCCUGUUAGGCAUUGCUGUUCUCCAGGGAAUAUCCACAGGGUAAUCAGAAGUCCAGAGUCUCUUCUGUAUGUGUUCCAGUUAGUUGUAUUAUUGUAUGUUUAUAAAUAUAAAAUAAAACAUGAAUAAUAAUUGAGUAUACUAUUUGAAAUUAGAGUUUCAUUUGUUUUUUUAUAAUCUGAUAUUUUAUUUUAGAUACAGGAGUUACAUGUGCAGGUUUGUUACGUGGGUGUACAGCAUGAUGCUGAGGUUUGGGGUAGAGAUCCUGUCAUCCAGAGAGUGAGCAUAGGACCCAAUAAGUGGCUUAUUAACCCACACUUCCCUCCUAGCCUCCUUCCUCUAGUAGUCCACAGUGUCUAUUGUUCCCAUAAAGACAAAAAAAAAUAGACAUUGUUUAGCUCCCACUUA